rnacentral:rRNA from 1 species
CCUACGGGGGGCUGCAGUGGGGAAUAUUGGACAAUGGGGGGAACCCUGAUCCAACCAUGCCGCGUGUGUGAAGAAGGCCCUCGGGUUGUAAAGCACUUUCAGUGAGGAAGAACGCCUGGUGGUUAAUACCCAUCAGGAAAGACAUCACUCACAGAAGAAGCACCGGCUAACUCCGUGCCAGCAGCCGCGGUAAUACGGAGGGUGCGAGCGUUAAUCGGAAUUACUGGGCGUAAAGCGCGCGUAGGUGGCUUGAUAAGCCGGUUGUGAAAGCCCCGGGCUCAACCUGGGAACGGCAGCCGGAACUGGCAAGCUAGAGUGCAGGAGAGGAAGGUAGAAUUCCCGGUGUAGCGGUGAAAUGCGUAGAGAUCGGGAGGAAUACCAGUGGCGAAGGCGGCCUUCUGGACUGACACUGACACUGAGGUGCGAAAGCGUGGGUAGCAAACAGGAUUAGAUACCCGGGUAGUC